GUUUCAUGAUCGUGGGAGCUGCGUAAGCAGCGGUUGUCCGUCUGUUGCGUCUGAAUCUGAUGCAAGGCCUGAGGUCAGCAGGGCUAGCACUUGUUAAGGAAAGAUGGACACGGUUUGAGAGAAAGUAAAGACAAAAUAGAACCCAUGAGAAUAAACUGAAACCUACAUCUGUCUUUAGAACACACAUUGGUCUCUAGUCACCUCCAGGGCUUCAACUUGGAUGAUGCAAGUGACCUGCAGAAAAGCGUGCGCAAUCCGUCAUGGAACCAAAUAGGAACUGAGCUCAGGACUUUACGAAACUGAAGGAAGACGUCCGCAGGAGCUACAGGAGCUGCGGGUCCAGCAGCUGACCCUCGCCAGCAAUGUGGGCCAGCAUAUCAGCAACUGCAUAUAUAAGCUGCAAAAUUAUCCCCCCCACGUUGACCUGUGUAAGAGCAUAUGCUUACUGCGUGAGUUCCACAAGGUGUUUUGUAACUCAGAAAAUCUCAGUCAGGAACUACUAAUCAAAUGCCAGUUUAUAUCCAACUCCUCAACAGAUCACCAGAACUUCACUCACAAAAGUCACCAGAGAGUUCCACGUGGACAAAGAUAAUGGACAUCUUCCUGUAUAAUCUUACAUCAACUUUCAGUGGCCUUUCACUACUGCCAACCCACAUGCUCCUUUAUCAUCAGGGGCCUUUGAUAGGCUGACCAUGUCCUUCUGGAAACUUGCCUGCUUGGCCUUUGUCGAACCACAUGUCUGACCAUCACUUCUCAGGCUGCACAGCUGACUCAUCUGCCUGGCUUUCCACGCUUAAGUCCAGCAUUUUUGAAGCAUUUGUGCUACAUGUGGUGCAAUUACCAAAUGGUUGAAAGGAUUCAUUGAGUUGACUCAUCACCUUUCCAGUGGUUGCAGUAUGAUGUUGCUGAGAAAUAAUAAGACCUUACAGGAGGAUGCUAAUAUUAUCCUGGUUAAGAGCAAAUUCUCCUAAGAAAAUAUCACAAAAAUAUUUCAGAGAAUACACCAGACAAAGAUCAUCUUCUCUUCUCAAACAAGAAUAUGUUAAUAGAAAACCCCAGCAUAGUAAUAUGUGAAAAGAAUUCACAUAUAGAAUUAAACUAUAAAGCCUUGCUUGUGACUGCAUACAUCCUCACACCGAGUCAGAUGGGAAGAACCAACAAUUUAUGCUGUGCAGAAAAGACCUCUAGAGAAAAGUGAUCAACAGGAAAUAACACAAUAAUUUGCCUUUGAAUUCUCAAAGUAAAAUCUAUUUAUCUUCUCCAUGUGGAACGGCCUACUCUCAGCAUCUUUGCAUUCAGCUGUGUUGAGUUGGGGAGGAGAAAACUAGCAGGAAAAUUUGUGAGCAUAUCCUUUUUCAUUAAAAUGACACAUCUUAGGAAAAUGUUCCCAAGUUCUGUGCAAUUAAUUGGACUUCCUAGGAUUUUGAGUAGGAAAUUUUGACUCCUAUAUAUUAACUUUAAGAAGUUAUGUUUUCUGCAAUAACUGGAU
rnacentral:lncRNA from 1 species